rnacentral:lncRNA from 1 species
UUAAGUUCCUGCGGUUGCCGGAUCCUUUUGAUAUAUAUUUAAAUUCUCAACUAAACACUUGUGAAGUGGACAUUGUAGGUACAUGCUACAGUUGAAAAACCUGAGUUCUCAGAUUGGCUAAGGAACUUGCUGGAGAUUCAAACCCUGGGCUGUCUGAUUUCAAAGGCUGUAGUCUUUCUACUGUGCCAUUCUGCUUGUCCCCUCUGGAAGGAGCGAGAAGGAGGGUUUGACUUCGUGCAUGUGCAUUCACUGCUGGGGAGAAAAACUUCAAGUACACGGCAAUGGGAGAAGCUGCUAGGUCUCUCUUGACCUCAGUGAGCCCCAGCAAUCACCAACCAAGGAAGGGGCCCAGGGAGCCUCUUCCAGUCCAGAAGUCUUCUCUUCAUCCCUUUCUCUGCGGCAAGACCAACUGUCAGAGCCUCCACAGCCUGAGGGCCUGGGUGGCGUGACCCCUGCAGAAUAGGGGGAGCAGAGGGAAAGCUAGGCAUUGACGUCCCUGGUUUUACUUCUGCUUCUUGAGUAGUUGUGUGACCCUGGGCAAAUUGUCAACCUCUCUGAGUCUCUACUCUCUCAUCUGUAAAAUCGAGACAGUUAUCUCCCCUCGGGUCUUGGGGUGGAGUUUUGCUAUAUUGCCCAGGCUGAUCUUGAAUUUCCAGGCUUAAGUGAUCCUCCCACUUCGGCCUCCCCGAGUGCUGGGAUUACGGGCGUGAGCCACUGCACCCAGCUGUGCCUGGAACAAUUGAAAAGCAUGUGCCACUUGAGAUUCUGCAGAGAAAGAUAGGUAAUCAAGGUUGAAGAACUGAGGCAGGUAAGUGUAGGAUGGUGGAAGGAGUCCUGGCCUGGUGUGGGUCCAGUUUCUGUCUCCCUCUGCUGGUGAUCUCAGGCAAAUUCUUAGCCUCUCUGGGCUUGCGUCCUCACCUGUGAAAUGAAGAUUGUGAAUGGGUCAUUUCCAAAGCUGCUUCUAGUUGCAAGGUGCCCCCCAGCCCAGAGGAGCUAGCCCCUCUGUUGCUUUUCCCCACUCACAUGCAGCCUUCUCUCUGGUUGGACAAGCCGAGUGCAUUGCUUCACAGCCUCUUGCAGCCCUGCCAGGACCUAAGUCACCCAGGAAAGGCCUCACCCUUGAUCCUGGAGUGACCUCAACCACAUUCACUGUGUCUCAUCCUGUGUGGGGUUUGCAGGCUGCCCUCUUCGGCUUCCUCUGCCUCUCCUCCCAGCAUGCCCUCUUCUUCCUUUCCACAUUCUUCUCUCUUUCCCACACCCAGCAUCCUCCCAGCCACAUCGAUCAUGGCACCUGUCCCCUGUGUGAGGUCCUACCACCCGGAGACAGUGAAGCCCUCUCCUAGUGCCCCCUGCAUAAUAUUUGAGAAGAUGAGACCACAGACAGCAGUAGCAACUGCUAGCACCACCUCUGCAGGCUCUACAGGCCCAGUUACUGGAGGUCCAAGUUGAAAGUUGGGCUAGGACAGAGAGCUUUUGGGAUGAGGGGGGUGGGGAGCACACCACCCUCUGAAGUCAUUCAUUCCCUAGAGGGUCCAUCAACUCUGUUAAGACAGGGGUAACAUCUUAUUUAUAAAUCUGUCCCCUGCUCACAGUAUAGUGUGGGGGCACAGAAGAGGCACUUGGGGAGUGUUCUUGAAGGAUUGAGGAAGGAAUGAAUAAUAUUCUUUGAGCACCUAGUAUGUGCCAGGCACUGUUUCAGGUGCUGAGACAUGGCAGUGAACAAAUGAAGCAACAAUCCUAGUCCUGGUGGAGCUGGCAUUCUACGAAUGGUGGGGAAGGUUGGCAAACAACCUGGUAGUAUGUACCUUACUUAUCUACUGUGUUUAACAAUAGAUAGGUAAAGCAGACAGCAUGUGGGAGGGUGAUACAUGCUGUGUGGAGCAGAGGGGAGGAAAGCGGGAGAGAGGAGGCCAGGAGUACAAUGUACACUGAGCGGCCAAGGAAGGCCCCAUGGAGGGAGGCGGGGAAAUCAGUUCAUCUGCCGGUGCCCUAGUCCCAGCCCACAGCAUUUUGAUGUGACUGCCCUUUUUCUUUUUCUUUUCUUUUCUCUUCUCUUCUCUUUUUUCUUUGCUUUGCUUUGCUUUUCUGAGACUCAGUCUCACUCUGUUGCCCAGGCUGGAAUGCAAUGGCAUGAUCUCGGCUCACUGCAACCUCCACCUCCCGGGUUCAAGCAAUUCUUCCACCUCAGCCUCCCGACUAACUAGGACUACAGGCACCCACCACCAUGCCCAGCUAAUUUUUGUAUUUGUGUAGAGACGGGGUUUCACCAUGUUGGCCAGGCUGGUCUUGAACUCCUGACCUCAGGUGAUCCGCCAGCCUCGGCCUCCCAAAGUGCUGGGAUUAUAGGCGUGAGCCACCACGCCCAGCUGUGACUGCCCUUUUCUGAACACCCCAGGCAGCUGUCCCCUUCCUCAACUGCCCUUGGUAUUAGUAAAGGCCAAGCUCUCAGUUUCUCCCCUGGGUGGCCGGCAGUUUUAUUUCUGGUGCUCCUGGAAGAAAAAAUGGCCACUAUUCCAGAAGCCUAGGAAAAAUGUCCCCUCCCAGAACAUUCUGUCUCCAGCUCACAUAAGGCAUGGCCAGCAGCCUGCCCGCCCACCUCAGGCAAGGCCCAGGUGCUCUGCGGAGUGUCUGUCCUUGUGGGUAAAGGGGGCUGGGGCUAGAGGGGAUUGAUGAGACAGCGGGAGGGUGGAGGGCUCUCUCCCCACUCUCUCCUAUCCCAACCUCCACGUCAAGCAUUCAUACACUGUUUCUUCCUAGCGCUUCUCGUAUCUGUCUAUGGUGUCUUCCUACAUUAGAACAUCAGCACCCAAGGGCAAGGACACCUAGAAGAGAUCCUAGCUUGCGGUUGUUGCCCAUUAAUUAUUUUUCCAAUGGAAUGAAUGGAUGAAUGGAUUCUUUCAAUUUAUUCAGUUAUUUAAAACAUGUACGGAGCACCCACUGCACACAGCUCCAUAUCAGGCCCAAAUAACUAUAUAAGCAUGCCCCCCAGAUUUGCACCAUAGAAAAGGAGAUACAAGUUUGCCCCAGUGGUUAAAGCAGAAUGAGCACUUUCCUGUAUACCUGAGGAGAGCUUGAUGGGCCCUGGGGUGAUCAGGGUGGACUUCAUGGAAGAGGUGGACUUUGAUCUAGGAUUUGCAGGGCAGAUAAUAGGUAGACCUUCACCCUCUGCCCUUUGGCUUUUCUUGUCUCAUGUAUGCCCUACCACAUGAUUCCAGGCUACCUCCCUCUCCCCACCCCAGCUUGGUACUUCAGAUGACAACCCAGAGGUGGAAUUCUUGCCUUGUCCUCUGAGAUGGGGGUUUAAGAAACCUGCUGCUCAAGUCUAACAGGCCAGGCAGGGGUUUUCCUAAGGAACCGGCCUCUUCCUCCUAAAAUGUGUGUGCCUUGACAAGCAGGGAUGACUGACGGCUGGGACGCGAUGGUUCUUUCCCCAGCCAGGGAGAGGCAGGGUGUGGUAGCCACGUUGGCAGGCAGGGAGAUGGAUUUCGAGGCAAAGGUGGUUCAGGCUGUCUUUCUUCCAGGUGAGGUGGAGUCUCCCCUGCUCUGGUGUGGCUGUGUUGAGGGCGUGGUGCUGGGACUGUCCCUGCUAUCACCCUUCUCUCUACUCAUCCCUCUUGAUAGAUGACUGUUUGCAUCCUUGACAUCUCUGGCCUUGGUCCCACACGCAGCCUGAGGCUGUGGCGAGACACUAGGCCAGGACUCAGAAGUUCUUGGGGCUGGUCCCAGUUUCACAAAUUUUGUCAGAUCACACCCCCUGUCUGGGCCUGAUUUCCUUGAUUUGCAAAUGGGUGCCUCCGUGUCUGUGCUGCUCAGCUCUCAUUUUGCUGUGAUGCUCAAAGACCAUGCAGCUUGGUGCUUAGCACAGUGACCCAGAGGCUCUAGGAGGCCCGGGCUCCAGUCCCAGCCCUGCCACUUCCUAGCUGGGGGACCUUGGGCAAGCUGCUUAACUUCUCUGGGCCUUGGUUUCCCCAUCCAUACAGAGGGUGACAGGAGUACCUGGGAUGACCUUAAUGCAUAAUGAUGCUUUUAACCCCGAGACUGGUAGUAUGUACUUGAUGAAGUGGCAGCUUUUACUAUUUGCCACUAGAAAUGAAUGGGGGCUGAGCACAAUGGCUCAGGCCUGCAAUCUCAGCACUUUGGGAGGCUGAGGCAGGAGGAUUGCUUGAGCCCAGGAGUUCAAGACCAGCCUAGGCAAUAUGGUGAAACCUCAUCUCAAAAAAAAAGAAAAAAAGAAAAAUAAAAAGAAAAGAAGCAAUAGGAAAGUCUUUUGUAAACUGAAAAAUGUCACAAAUAUAAUUGGUGCUGCUUCUAUGACGGUGGGUAAUGGCAUUCCCCUCUGGUGCUCUCUGAAAAGUCUGCAAAGGCAGGGCCCAGGAGAGGGGGUCCCACGCCCUCCCUGGAGUUGGGAGCGGGGAUUAGGGCUGGGGGAAUGGGCUAGGGGCCCCGGGAAGCAGCUCUGGACAUGCCUCCAUCAUCUCUAGUCCCUCAAAGCCACAGACAGGGCUGCCUCCCCAUACUCAUGGGAGAUCUUCAGUGUAGGUGGCUUGUGGAGUGAGGGGAAAGGGUGUAGGUCUCUCUGCAAAACUCUCUUCCAUGACAACUUAUGGGAUCAAAAAUAAGAACAGCAAUAGUGGGGAACUGGACAUCAUGUGCUGCUCCCUGAUGGGCUGCUCCAAGAAGGACACAAUCCCAAAUGUGCUAUUCCUGCCAAAAAUGCAUACCCUGAAUUUAAUCACGCAGAAGCAGCAGACAAACUCAAAUUGAGGGAUAUUCUGCAAAACAACUGGUCUGGAGUCUUAAAAAGAAAUGUAGGUGUGAUGGAUGUCAAAAACAAACAAACAAACAAAAAACAAGGAGGGCAAAGAUUGUAGGCUAAAGAGACGUGACAAAUCCAUAAAAUGCUUUGAUUGAUUCUUGAUUGGCUCCUGGAUCAAGACAAAAUCUUAAAAAAAAACGCUAUUGGAACAACUGAGGAAAAGGAACUAAGAAUGGUAUAUUAACUAAUGGGAUUUAUUAAUGCAAAGUUUUUUAAGGGUUAUCAUUGUAUUGUUGUUAUAUGGGAGGCUGCUCUUUUUCCUAGGAGAUGCCUGGUUUCGAGGUAAAAUGUCAUAUGUCUCCAACACACACAAACAUAUAUACUGAGAGAAAUGAAACAAAAGUGGUGAAUCCAGGUGAAGGGUAUAUGCAUGUUCAUUGUGCUAUUCUUGCAACUUCUCUGUUGGCUUGAUAAUACGUAAAACAAAAAGUUGGGAGAAAAGCCAUUGUGGUGCUAUCAACCGGAGUCUCUGAUAUCUACUAGAAAAUAUCAGCCUAUCCAAGGCCGGGAGCAGAAGCCAAAGUCAGAGACCCAAGGCGAGUCCCACACACCCUCUACCUAAUU